CCCGGCGCUCACGCACCGGGCUAUGUGAUUUCGCCCCCUUGGGGCU
rfam:Draconibacterium orientale strain FH5T, complete genome.